AACGCACAUUGCGCCCCGCGGCAUUCCGCGGGGCAUGCCUGUCCGAGCGUCAUUUCAACCCUCAAGCGCGGCUUGGUGUUGGGCGCGGCCUGCUCGGCCGGCCCCAAAGGCAGUGGCGGCGCCGUCGGGCCCGAAGCGCAGUACGACUCUCGCUCUCGGGUCCCGCGGUGGCCUGCCAGAACCCCGACUCUGCGGUUGACCUCGGAUCAGGUAGGGACACCCGCUGAACUUAA
rnacentral:misc_RNA from 1 species